rnacentral:rRNA from 1 species
UACGUAGGGGGCAAGCGUUGUCCGGAAUCAUUGGGCGUAAAGCGCGUGUAGGCGGCCCGAUUAGUCCGCUGUGAAAGUCCAGGGCUCAACCCUGGGAUGCCGGUGGAUACUGUCGGGCUCGAGUCCGGAAGAGGCGAGUGGAAUUCCUGGUGUAGCGGUGAAAUGCGCAGAUAUCAGGAGGAACACCAAUGGCGAAGGCAGCACUCUGGGACGUGACUGACGCUGAGACGCGAAAGCGUGGGGAGCAAACAGG